AUUGAACGCUGGCGGCGUGCUUAACACAUGCAAGUCGAUCGGUAACAGGUGUAGCAAUACAUGCUGACGAGAGGCGGACGGGUGAGUAAUGCUUGGGAAUCUGCCUAUUAGUGGGGGACAACCCGGGGAAACUCGGGCUAAUACCGCAUACGCUCUACGGAGGAAAGCCGGGGACCGCAAGGCCUGGCGCUAAUAGAUGAGCCCAAGUCGGAUUAGCUAGUUGGUAGGGUAACGGCCUACCAAGGCGACAAUCCGUAGCUGGUCUGAGAGGACGACCAGCCACACCGGAACUGAGACACGGUCCGGACUCCUACGGGAGGCAGCAGUGGGGAAUAUUGGACAAUGGGGGCAACCCUGAUCCAGCGACGCCGCGUGGGUGAAGAAGGCCUGCGGGUUGUAAAGCCCUUUCGGUGGGGAAGAAAAGUCUCGACCUAAUACGUCGGGACCUUGACGUAACCCCACUAAAGAAGCACCGGCUAACUCUGUGCCAGCCGCCG
rnacentral:rRNA from 1 species